rnacentral:rRNA from 1 species
UACGUAGGGAGCAAGCGUUGUCCGGAAUUACCGGGUGUAAAGGGAGCGUAGGCGGGAGGAUAAGUUGAAUGUGAAAUCUAUGGGCUCAACCCAUAGCUGCGUUCAAAACUGUUCUUCUUGAGUGAAGUAGAGGCAGGCGGAAUUCCUAGUGUAGCGGUGAAAUGCGUAGAUAUAUGGAAGAACACCAGUGGCGAAAGCGGCUCUCUGGUCUGUAACUGACGCUGAGGUUCGAAAGCGUGGGUAGCAAACAGG